rnacentral:rRNA from 1 species
CAUGCAAGUCGAACGGAAAGGCCCUUUCGGGGGUACACGAGUGGCGAACGGGUGAGUAACACGUGGGUGAUCUGCCCUGCACUUUGGGAUAAGCCUGGGAAACUGGGUCUAAUACCGAAUACACCCUGCCGGUCGCAUGGCCUGGUGGGGGAAAGCUUUUGCGGUGUGGGAUGGGCCCGCGGCCUAUCAGCUUGUUGGUGGGGUGAUGGCCUACCAAGGCGACGACGGGUAGCCGGCCUGAGAGGGUGUCCGGCCACACUGGGACUGAGAUACGGCCCAGACUCCUACGGGAGGCAGCAGUGGGGAAUAUUGCACAAUGGGCGCAAGCCUGAUGCAGCGACGCCGCGUGAGGGAUGACGGCCUUCGGGUUGUAAACCUCUUUCAAUAGGGACGAAGCGUGAGUGACGGUACCUAUAGAAGAAGCACCGGCCAACUACGUGCCAGCAGCCGCGGUAAUACGUAGGGUGCGAGCGUUGUCCGGAAUUACUGGGCGUAAAGAGCUCGUAGGUGGUUUGUCGCGUUGUUCGUGAAAACUCACA